ensembl:misc_RNA Metazoa_SRP Metazoan signal recognition particle RNA
GCUGGAUGUGGUGGUGCGUGCCUGUAGUCCCAGCCACUCGGGAGGCUGAGGCAGGAGGAUCGCUUGAGCCCAGGAGUUCAAGGCUGCAGUGAGCUACAAUCAAGCCACUGCACUCCAGCCUGGGCAACAGAGCAAGACUCUGUCUCAA